rnacentral:lncRNA from 1 species
AUGAUCUUGAUUGCGAACAAAUGUUUCUAAACAUAUGAUGUUAUUUUGAUAUUAAAAAGAUUUAUCGUGCUUCAUACAUACAUUGCUGAAAAACUAUGACUAAGAAAUUAAUAUUUUGAAUAUACACUCCUGCAUUAUUAAAUGCUUCUAUCAUUAAAGAAGAAAAGAAAGUUUAAAAGAAAAUGCAUCUUUUGAGGGGGAGCUUUAAAUACUCAAUCUCUUUAUUGAAAAUUAUCUUCAAACUCUAAACUCUCAAAUGGAAUGAUUAAUUAAGGGGGAGAAAGAAAAUUUCAGAGGGAGAGAUCAUAUAGAACUUAAUCAUGUAAAUUCACAACUAAAGAUGAGAGAAAGAAUACUAAAUAUAAAGUGGUAUUAAACUUUGUGCUUCAUUGAAUAUCUUUUGAAAGUUGGAUUUUCAUCUGUACUUAAUUGGUAAUUCACUUGUUUUGAAAACUAAGUGAAAAGGAUUCUAUUUGUCUUAGUAUUGGAAAUUUACUUUGGAAUCUACUAAUGAGCUCUUAUUGGCUUGCACUUUAGUGUUUCAAUCAUGAGCCAAUUCAUUUUAAUUGAUUUUGAUGCUAUGAUCUUUAAAGGAGUAAAA